GAGCCCAGCCAGCUUGUGCAUCCCGCAGCUAGCUAGCGCACCAUCAAUCAUCACUCAUCAUCAGCAGGAGAUCAGGUCAAGAGACCGUCGAUGGCGAAGCAGCAGCAGGCUCUGCCCCUUUGCACGGUGCUCCUGGUGGCCUUGCUCGUCGUCUCGGCCAUGCACGCCGUCCCUGCAGAGGCAGGGAGAGCCUUAGCAGGGGGGUGGAUAGGCUACGACCCGCUGAACCCAGGGCGCACGCCUUCUGCGGGUCCAGGCCAACCGUACAUCCCGCGGCCAUGCGAAAAAAUCUACCGUUGCCCACCUGCAACUGCGACUGCCACUGCAACGCCAUGAGCCUUGACAGCCCGGACGGCAUGCAUGCAAGGGAUUAAUGUGUUCUCGGUUGUGGCAUAGAUCAAUAGAAUAAGAAAGAGUAAUACCAAGCUACUUGCAGUAAUUGGGUAACGAGGUAAAGUAUAAAAGCCCAGUUGAAUUGUCUGCAUGGCCUUUCAUGUGUGUACUCAUGCAUGUACGUGUGCUUAAAUAUAAUCCAGAGAUGAUCAGUUUGCCAUUGAGGCAAGUUGUCUAAUGCU